CCCAAUUGCUGGGCCCAUUGCUUUCAACCUUGUGGACAAGGGGAGUGAAUCAAAAGUGAGGGGUGUGACUUGAAAAGCUUGGGCCUCAAGCCCAAGCUCCAAGCAAACAAGCGACCCGGGUCCAAGCUAAUGUAUAAACGCGAUGAAACCAAUUCGAUGGCACAAAGCAAAACGAACAUGGUUCUUCCCAACUUUUCAAAGCAUUCCUUAAUUCUGCAUCGUGAUAUGAGCGUUUCUGGCGAGGGCGAACACAAUCCAGCGUCCACACGACCAUCAAAAUGCACAGUCCCUCACUUUCGAUCUGAAUCCUUCAACCGUUUCCUGCGGCCGCGCUUGCAACCUCCAUUGAAGCUCCAAAACCGCUUCCUGCAAUUGAGCUCGCGACCUUCAACCAACCAUUGCACCGUGCUCGCAUCAUUCCAUGCGUUCUGAAGAGUGUUGUUCAUCGAUUAAGCAUUCUGAGAUCGGAAGCUACGAUUGAUACACGAGGAUUGAACAUAUACGAAAUCGAGCGGAAUCGGUGUUCAAUAGAAGAAGCCUAAUUUAAUAAUUUAGAGAAAAUCCACAGAAAACGUACCAGAAUCCAACGCACUGGUUCUUCGAAAUUGAUUUCACAUGUUCAGUCCUGCAACUUCUCAGGGUUCAUUGAAGGACCAAAUGGAAGGAUUUGGAAGCUUGAAGCUGAGUGAUCAUGCUGGCCGAAAAACUGGUGUGUAGACUGGAAGGAUCUCAAUAUAACACUUGCUUGUAGUAACUUGUAUUGGGAUUGGGUGCUAAUGUUAGCUAGUUAAUUGGAAUUUGAAACUUGUCAAAUGUUUGAUAAUUGCAAUAGCAUUUGAAAUGUAAAUUAGUGAGUUAGGAAUCAUGUUUGUUAAACUCUUGUAGUGAAAUUGUGAAAUUAUUAUUGAAUUGGGAAGGAGUCAUGUUGAAUAUUA